UGGUUCCUCCAUAUCUUGAUCCUCAACAUGUCUUGGAAGGAUUGCAUCGUGAUCCAAUAUAAAUAAUAGCACAUUUGGCCAACAUAUAAUUAUUCAAGCCUUUGGAGUGGAGUUCUUGAAGACAUUCGAGGGACUACCCCUUUGUUUUACAAGGGGUUAUUUCCUCACGUCUUGCUAUUCUCAUGGUGGAAUUCUUUCACUGGGAUACUAGUUCAGUGCUAGCUCUCCAAGGUUACUUAAUAAGACGAUCGAUGAAGCUGUUGCGGAUUGGUACUUUGAGAGAGAAGGGUUUCAUCAAUAUAUAGACCUGUACCCUUGCGCUAGAGAUUGCAAGUAUAAAUAAGUUAGUGAAAUUAUGUAACGAAUAGGCUUGCAGAUG